CCUACGGGGGGCUGCAGUGGGGAAUAUUGGACAAUGGGCGCAAGCCUGAUCCAGCAAUACCGCGUGUGUGAAGAAGGCCUGAGGGUUGUAAAGCACUUUUAAUCGGGAGGAAUAGCGGUCGGUUAAUACCCGGUCGUCUGACAUUACCGAUAGAAAAAGCACCGGCUAACUCCGUGCCAGCAGCCGCGGUAAUACGGAGGGUGCAUUAGUUAAUCGGAAGUACUGGGCGUAGGUUGGUCAAGUGCGGUUUGAAAGCCCCGGGCUUAACCUGGGAACGGCAUUUGAAACUGAUCGACUAGAGUUGGGUAGAGGGGAGUGGAAUUUCAGGUGUAGCGGUGAAAUGCGUAGAUAUCUGAAGGAACACCAGUGGCGAAGGCGGCUCCCUGGACCCAAACUGACGCUGAGGCACGAAAGCGUGGGUAGCAAACAGGAUUAGAUACCCUAGUAGUC
rnacentral:rRNA from 1 species